rnacentral:piRNA from 1 species
CAGGAAAACUCUAGAAGAACUUUCUCUGGU